UGCUGCAGUAUAAGCCAAAUUUACAGAAAUUAUUUUCUGUUCUGUGCCACAGAAGUUGACCCCAUGAGUCUAUUGGAGUAUGAUCCCGGCUCCUCCCACGGAUCUUGGGUGCAGCGGAACCAGCAACGAACAAAUAUGAAGACUUUUGGACUCGAUCGAAGGCCCUUGACGAAAUCAGCCUGGUUGCUGUCUUCUUCGUCAGCCUUUCGUUCCAUA
rnacentral:lncRNA from 1 species